rnacentral:rRNA from 1 species
UACGUAGGGUGCAAGCGUUGUCCGGAUUUAUUGGGCGUAAAGAGCUCGUAGGCGGUUUGUCGCGUCGGAUGUGAAAACCCAGGGCUCAACCCCGGGCCUGCAGCCGAUACGGGCAAGCUAGAGUUCGGCAGGGGAGACUGGAAUUCCUGGUGUAGCGGUGAAAUGCGCAGAUAUCAGGAGGAACACCGGUGGCGAAGGCGGGUCUCUGGCCGAUACUGACGCUGAGGAGCGAAAGCGUGGGGGAGCAAACAGG